CCCUUAGAUGCUCUGGGCCGCACGCGCGCUACACUGGUCGAUGCAACGAGUUUCUUUCCUUGGCCGACAGGCCUGGGCAAUCUUUGAACAUCGAUCGUGAUCGGGAUAGAUUCUUGUAAUUUUUGAUCUUAAACGAGGAAUUCCUAGUAAACGCAAGUCAUCAGCUUGCAUUGAUUACGUCCCUGCCCUUUGUACACACCGUCCGUCGCACCUACCGAUUGAAUGGUCCGGUGAAAUCUCCGGACUGGCGUGAGUCGGAGCAAUCUGACAAACGCCGGAAAGUUGAUUAAACCUUACCAUUUAGAGGAAGGUGAAGUCGUAACA
rnacentral:rRNA from 1 species